rnacentral:hammerhead_ribozyme from 1 species
AUUCAACUGACGAGUCCUAAAUAGGACGAAACGUGUGUCAAACUGGAU